AUAUAUAUAUAUCUCUCUUCUAUUCUAAGUUCAGGAAGUAUUGUAUCACAUUUAAAUAAUUUGUAUGUGAGGCAUAGCUCAUUAGAAAAUAUAAAAAUAACUCGAUUUUCAGGGUUCCAGAAGCAUAAUCAUGUGUUUUAAGGUGUUGUGUCGGAGGUGUGGGAAAUAUACCUGGGGUGGAUGUGGCAAUCACUUGAGCAAUGUUUAUAAUAGCAUAGAGGAGGGAAAUCAUUGUAUGUGUCGCUCAUGGCCUGGCCUUGUCAUACCAAGACCUACUCAGGAACCAACAAAAUCAAGUACUACUCCACCCCAAGAUAAUGGGAAUCCUCGAAUUCUUGAAGCAAUCGCAGUGGAUGGUCUGCAAUAAAUAUUUUAGCUUGAUGGUGGGAUAUGCUGAGGAGAGAAAGAGAGAAAAAGAUUUGGAUGUCCUCUUAUGUUGCUCCUAGGUUUUGCUGACAUAAUAACUACGAAAACAAUCUUAUGUUAAUGAAAAGGAUGUUGAUCCUUUAGCUUGUUUUGUUUUUUUUAUGCUAAGUAUGGAUUUUUUGUGCUAACACUUGGUCUCUUAAUAAAAAUCUUUGGGUUAUCCAAAAGUUCCCUUAA